rnacentral:lncRNA from 1 species
UCCAGUCGAAACGCCCUGAAACCUAUGAUGCUGUCGACCAAACGAAGGCCUGGAAUACCAAAAUAGCCACAUAGGUACUUGCUGGACUUGAAACAGAUGGAAGGUGAGCUCUGCCUAGGACACGCCCAGCCUCAGCUGGAGGAGAAGCUGCCUCUUUCUCAGCCUGAGCCCCCUGCUGGCUCUGUAGGACUCAGGUCACUCCUUUUUGGCCCCUCCCCUGUUCUCCCCCGGCCUCCUGGGGUGCAGAGCCACCCUGAGAUGGGGUCCUGCCCUCUCCCGCCAUCUUUUCACCCCCUCUCUAGCCCUGGGGCUGCUGUGUCCCCAGCUGUCUCUUCUCUCGCUGACACCUCCACUGUCCCAUCUCCUCCCACAGAGCUGUGCCGUUUCUAGGUGAGCUCCUGCCUGGUCCUGCCUCCUGGGUAAUGUAUCAGCCUCGCCCACUGUCUGCGGCUGCCUCUCUGGGCCCCUGGGACAGACCCCACUGUGUCCAGUUCAGGGCUGACCCUGCAGGAAUGAACUGGGGUCUGGUCUUGUGAUUCCAGAAAGCCAGGCUGCUGACGUCCCCAUCCACCAGCCCAGCCUGUGUCUUGCAGCCAUUGUAUUAGUCACAGGCUCGUGCCCUAUAGUCAGACCUCAUGCUUUCUUUUGGAGUUCGGGGUGUUGGUUGGAAAUAGUGGGGGCUAUAGGAGGAAGGAGGAUGGUUACACGGAAGGGCAUGAGAAGCUGGGGACCUGCAGGUCUCAGUCCCACAUUCUUUUUUUUUUUUUUAAGAUGGAGUCUCGCUCUGUCACCAGGCUGGAGUGCAGUGGCACAAUCUCAGCUCACUGCAACCUCGACCUCCUGGGUUCAAGCGAUUCUCCUGGCUCAGCCCCCCGACAUUUUUUAAAAUUUAUUUAUUUUCU